GUAGGGUGCGAGCGUUAAUCGGAAUUACUGGGCGUAAAGCGUGCGCAGGCGGUUAUGUAAGACAGAUGUGAAAUCCCCGGGCUCAACCUGGGAACUGCAUUUGUGACUGCAUGGCUAGAGUACGGUAGAGGGGGAUGGAAUUCCGCGUGUAGCAGUGAAAUGCGUAGAUAUGCGGAGGAACACCGAUGGCGAAGGCAAUCCCCUGCACAAAGACUGACGCUCAGGUGCGAAAGCGUGGGGAGCAAACAGGAUUAGAUACCCUGGUAGUCCACGCUGUAAACGAUGUCGACUUGGAGGUUGUGCCCUUGAGGCGUGGCUUCCGGAGCUAACGCGUUAAGUCGACCGCCUGGGGAGUACGGCCGCAAGGUUA
rnacentral:rRNA from 1 species